rnacentral:tRNA from 3 species
UGCGGGUGUGGCGGAACUGGCAGACGCGCUGGAUUUAGGUUCCAGUGCCGCAAGGCGUGCAGGUUCGAUUCCUGUCACCCGUAU